rnacentral:rRNA from 1 species
UAGGGAAUCUUCCGCAAUGGACGCAAGUCUGACGGAGCAACGCCGCGUGAGUGAAGAAGGAUUUCGGUUCGUAAAACUCUGUUGUUAGAGAAGAACAGCGCAUAGAGUAACUGUUAUGCGUGUGACGGUAUCUAACCAGAAAGCCACGGCUAACUACGUGCCAGCAGCCGCGGUAAUACGUAGGUGGCAAGCGUUGUCCGGAUUUAUUGGGCGUAAGCGAGCGCAGGCGGUCAAUUAAGUCUGAUGUGAAAGCCCCCGGCUCAACCGGGGAGGGUCAUUGGAAACUGGUUGACUUGAGUGCAGAAGAGGGGAGUGGAAUUCCAUGUGUAGCGGUGAAAUGCGUAGAUAUAUGGAGGAACACCAGUGGCGAAGGCGACUCUCUGGUCUGUAACUGACGCUGAGGCUCGAAAGCGUGGGUAGCAAACAGG